rnacentral:ncRNA from 1 species
GUGAUAGAGGUUGCGGACUUCAUGAGUCGCCGCGGGGAUGCCGUAAGGAGCAGUUGAGCCGGGGCAAAAGGGAAAGCCGCCGAAGAAAUCCAUUUUCCUUAAAGAUGGGCUUCUGGGCUUGCAGAGAAGAUCUGCCUGACUGUCAUCGUUUGAUGGAGCGCUAUCCGA